rnacentral:rRNA from 1 species
UGGGGAAUAUUGGACAAUGGGCGCAAGCCUGAUCCAGCCAUGCCGCGUGAGUGAAGAAGGCCUUAGGGUUGUAAAGCUCUUUCAGUGGUGAAGAUAAUGACGGUAGCCACAGAAGAAGCCCCGGCCAACUCCGUGCCAGCAGCCGCGGUAAUACGGAGGGGGCUAGCGUUGUUCGGAAUUACUGGGCGUAAAGCGCGCGUAGGCGGGCUGGCCAGUUGGGGGUGAAAUCCCGAGGCUUAACCUCGGAACUGCCCUCAAUACUGUCAGCCUCGAGUCCGGGAGAGGUGAGUGGAAUUCCUAGUGUAGAGGUGAAAUUCGUAGAUAUUAGGAAGAACACCAGUGGCGAAGGCGGCUCACUGGCCCGGUACUGACGCUGAGGCGCGAAAGCGUGGGGAGCAAACAGG